AGUGGCGGACGGGUGAGUAACACGUAAGAAUUUGCCUUUAGGAGGGGGACAACAACUAGAAAUGGUUGCUAAUACCCCAUAUGCUUUCGAGUGAAAUGGAUUUUUCCGCCUAGAGAGAAGCUUGCGGCUGAUUAGCUUGUUGGUGAGGUAAUGGCUCACCAAGGCGACGAUCAGUAUCUGGUUUGAGAGGACGAUCAGACACACUGGAACUGAGACACGGUCCAGACUCCUACGGGAGGCAGCAGUGGGGAAUUUUCCGCAAUGGGCGAAAGCCUGACGGAGCAAUACCGCGUGAGGGAUGACGGCCUAUGGGUUGUAAACCUCUUUUUUCAGGGAGGAAUCAAUGACGUGUACCUGAAGAAUAAGCAUCGGCUAACUCCGUGCCAGCAGCCGCGGUAAGACGGGGGAUGCAAGUGUUAUCCGGAAUCACUGGGCGUAAAGCGUCUGUAGGUGGUCCAAUAAGUCAACUGUUAAAUCUAGAGGCUCAACCUCAAAAUCGCAGUCGAAACUAUUAGACUAGAGUAUAGUAGGGGUAAAGGGAAUUUCCAGUGGAGCGGUGAAAUGCGUAGAGAUUGGAAAAAACACCGAUGGCGAAGGCACUUUACUGGGCUAUUACUAACACUCAGAGACGAAAGCUAGGGUAGCAAAUGGGAUUAGAUACCCCAGUAGUCCUAGCCGUAAACAAUGGAUACUAGAUGUU
rnacentral:rRNA from 1 species